CUUUUCAUUCCCGUUGUUAUGGAGGGCCACAUCUGCCAGAGCCUGGAGUCUGCGAAGGCCGGGACCCGGUUCCCCGGCCCACAGUGGGGGUGUGCAAACCCGAGAGAACUGGGUUGCAAAUUCGUGAAGAAUCAGCAUCAUGUUUGGCAGCUGAGUAUUGGAGCCAGGAGCCUGCCAUGAGGUUUUGAGAACAGAGUGCUGUUUUAGAGCUGGCAGCAGCAUCUCAGCCCAAGAGAAGGCAUGACUCCACAGUUUCUGCAACAACAGAGCCGGGGAAAGGAGGACGCAGCAAGCGCUGAAUAUUAACCAGCAAAGAUGGGACCGUCUAGUUGCAGGAAAAGAAGCUCAGCGCCCUCACUGAUUCCACAUUAUGGGGAGUUGUAUAAUUAUUUCAUUAUAUUACAAUGCGGUAAUAACAGAAAUAAAGUACACAAUAAGUGUAA
rnacentral:lncRNA from 1 species